UUUCCGUAGGUGAACCUGCGGAAGGAUCAUUAAUAAAUUUUUUUUUGAAAUAAAAAAAAAAUAAUAAUCAUCCUACCCUUUGUGAAUUUGUUUGUUGAAUAAUUUUUUAAAAUUAUUUAUUGUCUAUCCAAGUUGGAAAGUUGUAAAAGACUAGAAGACUCGGAGCGGCAUAAAUAAAUUUAAAGACUUUUUUCUAAAAUUAAACUUUUGUAUUCAUUUGUCUAAAAUAAUUUUUAUAGUAUAUAAAAACAACUUUUGACAAUGGAUCUCUCGGUUCUCGCAACGAUGAAGAACGCAGCAAAAUGCGAUAAGUAAUGUGAAUUGCAGAAUACGUGAAUCAUCGAAUCUUCGAACGCAUAUUGCACUUUUUUAGUUUACUAAAAAAGUAUGUCUGUUUGAGUAUCAGUAAAAUAUUCUCAUAAAAUUUUUAAUUUUAUGGUUAUGAGUGUUUUACAACGAUAAACAAGUUGUUUCACUUUAAAUUGAAUUUUUUGAAGAAAUUCUUAAUUCAAAUUAAAUUUGGAUAAAAUUUUCCCGUAAAAAGGAAUAACUAUACAAGUUUAAUAAGAAUUUAGUGAUUUCUUUUAUGAAAAGGAAAUUUAUUAAAUAACUUGAUCUCAAAUCAGAUAAGAGUACCCGCUGAACUUAAGCAUAUCAAUAAGCGGAGGAAAAGAAACUAACAAGGAUUCCCCUAGUAACGGCGAGUGAAGCGGGAAGAGCUCAAAUUUGAAAUCUUAAAGGGUUUCCCUUUACGAAUUGUAGUUUAAAGAAGUGUUUUCUGUUGAGGUUUUGGUAAAAGUUCUUUGGAAUAGGACAUCAUAGAGGGUGAGAAUCCCGUAUUUGACCUUUACUUCCAACUUUGUGAUACACUUUCAAAGAGUCGGAUUGUUUGGGAAUGCAGUCCAAAAUGGGUGGUAAAUUUCAUCUAAAGCUAAAUAUUGGCGAGAGACCGAUAGCGAACAAGUACCGUGAGGGAAAGAUGAAAAGAACUUUGAAAAGAGAGUUAAACAGUACGUGAAAUUGUCAAAAGGGAAGCGUUUGACACCAGUGUUGUUUUUCUGAAAAUCAAUUAAAGAACUGUUUAUGCUAAGUUGUUUAGACUUUAUCAGCUAACUGUUUAGUUUUGAGCUUUUCUUUAAUGCACUUUUCAGUUAACAAGUCAACAUCAAUUUCUUUUGCUGUAAAAAAGCUUGAGGAAGGUGGCUUGAGAUUCGUCUUAAGUGUUUAUAGCCUCUUGCCUAUGCAGUCGGAGAGAUUGAGGUCUGCAGCGUAGAUCCUUCGGGGCUAAAUGCAUUUGUGCUAAGUUAUAGCAUUUUAUAGACAACUUGUUGACUAUGAUUUGUCUUGUAGCUUACUCGCUUAUGUUAUUU
rnacentral:misc_RNA from 1 species